rnacentral:rRNA from 1 species
AGGACGAACGCUGGCGGCGUGCUUAACACAUGCAAGUCGAGCGAAGCUCCUGCCUUCGGGUGGGAUGACUUAGCGGCGAACGGGUGAGUAACACGUGGGCAACCUGCCCUUAGCUCUGGGAUAAGCGAUGGAAACGUCGUCUAAUACUGGAUAUGACACUGGGACGCAUGUUCUUGGUGUGGAAAGUAUUUUUUGGCUAAGGAUGGGCCCGCGGCCUAUCAGUCUUGGUUGGUGGGGUAAUGGCCUACAAGGCGGCGACGGGUAACCGCUGAGAGGGCGACGGUCACGCGUGGACUGACGACACGGCCCAGACUCCGUACGGGAGCAGCAGGUGGGAAUGUAGGACAAGUGGACG